AUGUGAGGUCUCAGCUGCUGUGCCUGUGAUGUCCUUGUCUGCCACCAUGCUCCUCACUAUGAUGAUCAUGGACUCUCCCUCUGAAGUGGUAGAAAACAUUCUGUCUUUCUCACCAUGAAGUGAGACACAUCCUCUGCUACACGUGUCCACCACCAUAAUGGUCUUCCUAAAUGCCUGGAGCCAAGUCACUCUGGACUGAACUCUCUGAAGCUGGGAGCCAAGAGAACUUGGAAGUUUGGAUUGGACACCGAGUCUCCAGCAGCCCCCAGGACUCCCUGCUGCUCUCUGUCCGGGCUGCUUUCAUCAUCCACAUCACAGGGUUUCCUGGCUUCAGCAGACACUCAGCAUCUCAGCCUGAAUCUGAUGUUGGAGAAAGAAAAUGAUAUCAGAGGUGAAUCUGAGGACCUGAGAGUUUGCCACUGUUGCACUGAAGAGCUGGUACCAGCAACUUUCAAACAGGCUCUAGUUAUCCAGCUAACAAGCCUACUCUGGCUCUGUUUGUCUGUGGAGACUAGAGUCUGACCGUGGGGAAGCCCAGGAUAUCCCUGGAAAUUUCUUUCCUGCUUGUUCUGUUUCUUUGAUGUUCUCCAUGUUCGUAAAUGAUUCCACCGAGGGGCAAUGUGGUAGAUUCAAAAUUGGGCCAUAAAUAUUCCCCAUCCUUGUGUUCAUUUGCUUUUGCAAAUUCUCCUGCCUUAAGGUGACGCCUGUUUCUCCUCUGCUUGAACUGGCAUAUGGGAAGAAAGCAGGGACUUGAAGAACACUUGUGAAUUGGGCCUCUGGCUCUUGCCUGCUCUUUAUUAAGCAGUUUACUCCAGUCUCUGGAAUAUCAGAGAUCAAGAACGUGAAACAAAAACAGACAGCCCACAGAGCUUCCCCUAGGCUGUCAAUCCAGUGUGGUGUGGAUAAGGCCAUCUUAAGCCAUUGCCAGCUGACUUCCCAGAUGCCUGACAUACACAGACAAGUCAGUCUGAGACCAACCUGAAGUUGUCAGACCAUAAUAACCUCCAUUGUCAACUAACCAAACAGUUGCUUUAAAAAAUCAGCUGAAUUUUGGUCUGGAGCUAUGGCUCAGUGGUUUAGAGCACUUAUUGCUUUUGCAAAGGACCUGCUUCACCCAGCUCGCAACCAUCUGUAACUCCAUUUUCAGGGGACCCAAUGCCCU